rnacentral:rRNA from 1 species
AUUGAACGCUAGCGGGAUGCCUUACACAUGCAAGUCGAACGGCGUGGCGAACGGGUGAGUAAUGUAUCGGAACGUGCCCAGUAGCGGGGGAUAACUACGCGAAAGCGUAGCUAAUACCGCUUCCUCUUGGUGCGGCCGAUCGCGGAUUAGCUAGUUGGUGGGGUAACGGCUCACAAAGGCGACGAGCCGUAGCUGGUUUGAGAGGACGACCAGCCACACUGGGACUGAGACACGGCCCAGACUCCUACGGGAGGCAGCAGUGGGGAAUGUUGGACAAUGGGGGAAACCCUGAUCCAGCCAUCCCGCGUGGGCGAUGAAGGCCUUCGGGUUGUAAAGCACUUUUGGCAGGAAAGCGGUACCUGCAGAAUAAGCACCGGCUAACUACGUGCCAGCCGCCGCGGUAAUAC